rnacentral:lncRNA from 1 species
GGGUGGAUUGUAGUAUGGGGGAGGCUUCUUCUUAUAUGGAGUUGGAGGAGGAGGAGGUUUCUUCCCUUCUGGCUUUUGUGGGGGUAGAGGAGCCUUGAUUGGAGGAGGGUGUUUAGGGUAACUAGGUGUGAUUGGUUUCACAACAGGAGGUAGAGUUGGUGUCUUAGGAUAAGGUGGUGGAAGUGGCUUGGUCACCGGCGUAGGUGGCGGUGAAUGUACAAUAGGAGGCUGAGUGCUUGGUGGUUUGCCAUAAGGUGAGGAUGGUGGUGGCCUCACCACUCUAGGAGGCAGAGUUGGUGGUUUGGGUUUGGGCACUAUUGGUGGUGAUGGCUUGUUAUAAACUGGGGGUGAUGGCUUCUUGAUGGGAGCUGGGGGCUUGUAAAUAGGAGAAGGAGUUGGUGGUUUGGGUUUGGGCACUAUUGGUGGUGAUGGCUUCUUGAUGGGAGCUGGGGGCUUGUAAAUAGGAGAAGGAGUGGGUGGCUUGGGUUUUUCAUUGUACUCAGCUAGAGAUGAAGUGAUGAGAACCACCAGGCCAAACAAUAGCACAAGCAACUUUGAGUAACUCAUG